CUGGUUUCUCACUUUAGCUCUAAUGAGGUCAGAGCCGCAGAUGCCAGGAGAGAAGCAUGUUCCCUUUGAGCUUGGUAAGCAUCUCUCCUAUAACUGCCCAUGUUCCCUUUGAGACUGGCGACUAUUCUGUGGAGAAAGAGAGCUCUCCCAUCUCCUAGUGAAAAACCUGAGCCCCGAGCACUGGGAGCCAUUGCCCGAAAGACCCCACAGUCUCCUUUCUAAGAUAGAAUUCAGUGAGAUAAUGUAUGUAAAACAUCUAACAGUGUCUGACUCCUGACUCAUGCUUAGUAAAUGCUGGAAAUGCAAAAUCCUGCGGCAGGGCCAAGAGGAUCCACUCUGCCGGCUCUUCCCAUUCUGGUUUGGGGAGCUUUGUUCCCACUGCAUCACUUUGCCACACGAUAGCUGAUAGGCUGAUAGUCCAGGGUGGCGUUUAUGUCUUGAAAUUCCAAACACUGUGAACGGAAAGAGCGGGAUUAUUUAUUUAUUUAUUCAACGAAAAUUUAUUGAGUUCAUGGGUUAGUAAGAGAAAUGCAGUACUUUUACUACGCUGUCAGAGAGCUUGAACUGAUCAGAGAGCAUAAAAGGAGUGAGAUACUGUUUCAAUGUAUUUACUACUGUGUCUGGUCAGGUUUUUUUUUUUUUGUCCUGUGGUAUAUUUCCUAUUCAAACUAGACCUUGAGGCAUUCUUUGCCUCAGGAAAGGAUUUUUUUUUUUUCUUGUCUCCUGGCACAUCCCUAUUCAAAUCAGACCUUGAGGCAUUCUUUGCCUCAGGGAAGGGUUUCUACAGCAGAAUACAGAGAUAGGAGUCAAGUCUUGGCUUUUGAGUUUGAGAAUUUGUUUGAAAGCUCAAGGCACAGACAGUAAUUAAAAAAAAAAAAAAGAUUUUGGGCUUCCAAAAAACUUAGGAAUUUGGGGUUCCAAGAAUCUUUGCUUUGAAGAGACUCAGAGGUUAGAGGAUAUAAAAUCAAUCAGAGUUUGGGACGUCCCCUCCCCACUUCCUCCCUUUCAUAAAAGGGAAAGCUUUUCUGGUCUAAAAGUAGAAAUGAACACUCGUGCUGUUCCCCUAGAAGGGGUCCCAUGACUCUCAGGUGUGAGUUCUAGGGAGGAUGGUGAAAAAAAAUGACGCUAUAUCCAGGUAGGUUUGAGGAUAAGCCAGAAGGAGGGUGUUUGCACUAAAUUUUCUCGGUGCAGCCCAGGAAAUGGACCAGACUCCUUGCAUUUGUUCCUCAAUGUUCAAGGGCACAGGAGCUUUGGGGUUGGGUAUGUGCAGUGUCGGGGGCGGGAGGCCUCCAGAAGGCUUCUUUGAGCUCCGUAUUGCAUGAAGGAGAGGAAAAUGAUUCCCAUGUGCCCGAAGAGACAUGAAAGGAGUCAGAUCCUGCUGGACGUGGACAGCCAGAUCUGCAGCCGCGUUAGAGCCUCGGUGGAUUGAUAGCAGAGGAUCAGAGGUGGGGUGGGCUGCAUCUCAGCAGAUGCCAGCAUGGGGUAAUCAUAGCAACUGAGGAGCAGCUGCCCUGUCUGUCUCUGUUCACCCAGGCCUCAGCCCUGUACGAGAGCCUCAGAGCCCAGACUCAAGCUCUGGGAGUGGGGGGCUGGCGUUGGGGUCGAAUUGGCUGAGGAUGCCCUAAAUUAACUAGUAUUACCUGAAGUGACCGAGGUGAUGAUUUGGGAGCAUGAAUGGAAAUUAAAUUCAAUUAUGGAGCUAUGAGGGAAAGGUGUUUUUUUGUGUGUGCACAGUUUAGACUGGAGAUGGAGAUACUUACCUGCCGCACAGAUAGUGCCGAUUCAGUGUGAUGAUGGCAAAGAUGGAAGCUCCUGAGAGACCCAGCUGACCCAGCUUGGGGUGGGGGCAAGGGAGAGUCAGGGGAGGCUUUCAGAAAAAAUGAUGCUUGAGUGGAAAGAGGUAGGAGAGAGUAGCCUAAGAAACUCAGCCAAGGGUAUUCUAGACAGAAGAAAAAGCCACGCAAAGGUACGGAGGCAUGAAACACACUGUUUUCUCUCUGGCAAAGUGUAACUAGUCCUGUGGAGUGAGGCUUAAAGCUGUGUGUACCAGGGAUGGGAACGGGUGAAGUUGUGACGGUCUUGUGGAUCGUGCUAAUUUGAGAGAAGAGGAGGUUGUUUUGUGUGUGUGUGUGUGUGUGUGUGUGUGUGUGUGUGGCUGUUUUGAGACUGAAAACAUCUCAGAAGCUUCUCAGUGAGGACCAGCAAAAGAGGAGCAGAGCAGCACAGGCCAAGGCUGUGUGUGAGAAGCAGAGGGUGCAGGCUGUCCUGGGAACAUGCCUCUCAGCCCAGGACCACAGCAAGGUGAGAUGCUCAGAUGAGGCCCAUCUGGGUGAUAGCCAGGGUCACUCAGGAAGAGAGGCAGGCGUGGUACAGAGCGGCUGGAUGCUGCCUGAUCGCUGAGCUUGCAGCCUAGCCUGAUGUUCCCGGGGGAAAGCUUUGAUAGUUUCUCACCUUGAAACAGACUCCUUUUAUUUAAGUAAGUUGCCUCGGAAACAUUAUUCGCAUUGGAUACGCAUGCUUUGGUCAGAUGUGCUCUGGGGAAUUCUUGAGCAGUUUCAACCUGGCCAGGAAGACAGGGGCAGGGUGGGGUGGGGGAGGGCGGAGAAACCGUCUGCAGAGUUAAGGGGGAAGGGCCUUUUGGCAUCUCAGCUUGCCCGGGUCUCCUGGAUCGGGGUAAGAGACUUACAGACUCUGGACUCAGACGACCUGGGCCCUCUCCCCUACUUUGCCACUUCCUGGCUACAGCUUAGAUCCCCAUUUCUGGUCCGAGUUUCCCGCUUGUAAGAUGGCUUUAUUUAUACUGUUGUAGGGUUAUUCUGAGGAUAUGUGAGAUGGUGUGUGUCAGCUUCUCAGAGGAGCUCCACGCUCACAGUAACUCUUUCAGGUUAUGUCGGCUCCCGUUUCCAUGUGUGAUAACCACUGCAGUCACUGUUGUAUUUGCUGCUCUUACUGUUGCUCUGCAGACACAGCUGUGGCAUAGGUUGGGGACUCACCUUAUUCUCUGUCUCGCCUGAGUCUCUUUGAAUGGUCCCCAGAGGCAGAAGUGGCACUCUUCCUCUGGGGAAGGGGGGCUGGCCAGAGGGGGACAGGCUCUGAGGGACCGCUCUGAGUUCCUUGGUGAGGAAGAUGGAGCAUUUUCCCAGGGAGUAAGUGUAGGGUGGCUGGAAGGGAGCAGACUCUACUCUUCCAGCAGAAAUGACAGUGCUGGCCCCCACAUGGGCACUGGGGCGAGUGGUGAUGUUAAGCAAUGGAGUCCUGCCUGAGACCCCACCUGCCAGGGACUAGGCAGAGGCUGGUCCCACCCCACCCCAAGGCCGUGACUCUUCCUGAGUCAACCCUAGCAUCCAGAAGUUCUUCUAAGUCCAGCCCUGAUCUGAGGAAUUGUGGUGGGGAGGCAGGUCACAGACAGACUCUUAGAGGACUCGUUCAGGGAGUUAGGACGGGAAAGAGCCCAGAGCAGGGGCCUCAAAGCCAUGCAGACCUGGAGUUAGCUUCUGACUUUGCCAUUUAUCAAGCAUGUGAUCUGGGCAAGUCACUUUCCUUCCAGAGCCUCAGUUUCCUUAGCUGUGAAAAGAGAUGGUUUUGAACGGUCUGCCUUUUGGAAAGAGCAGUCAUGAGAGUGGUGCUUUGCGCACAGUAAGUACCAAUUAAAUGGUACUGAAACUGAUGGUCAUUUAACAAAUACUUGUGUGACGCAUACGCUGUACCAGGCACUGUUCUGAGUACUUUGCAGACAUUAUCUUGUUUAAUAUUCUUAUGAGAUAGGUUUGUUACUGUCUUUGGUAGAAACUGAGGCACCAAGAGGUUGAAAUAAUUUGUUCAGGAUCCCACAGAGGGUCAGUGGAUUCACACUCAGGCAGUCUGGCUCGCUAUCAGUCUGUGCAGCCUCAUGAUUUUAAAGAUAUUUCCUAAAGGACAAUGGCAAAGGGCCCUGAAGGUAUGAAUGUGAACGAUGAUGAAAAAGCCCCUUUCUCUCCAACCAGUGUGUUGCUAGCACUGACUGUGGUGGGGUUCUGUUCCUUUAGGGCAGAAUUAAUCCCCAUUUCUAGUGACUAAAUAGAGGAUCCCCUGCAGACCGAGCUACCUUGUACACCUGACUCCCCCUUAAGAAGCUCUUUUUCUGAAGUGGUUCAGAAAAUAAAGGACCUUGGGCUUGGUUUGUGCCUUUCAUGUUGUUUUCAGCCUCAUUUGCUUGUGGGUUGGAUGGAUGCAGCCGUAAAGUCUCUCCCUGCCACUGCCCUCCCUUCCCCACACGGCUCAAGUUCCUCUGGGUCUGGAACAGUGAAAAAGCCCCCAGCUGCAGGACCAAGCCCGAUUUGGUUCCGGUGACCAAGCUUGUGCUUUGCUCUGGAGCUGAGGGCCCACCUCCGCGGCGGCACCCCUCCCUGCGCACUCGUGACCCUCGUCACGGCCCUUUCCAGAGCAGUUGGAGAUGAUCCGCCUGCGCGAGUGAAAUGAGGUGGAGAACUUCCUGCAAGAAAAGCAGUCACACGAGGAAACAGCUGCUCUGCUCCUCUCUGGGCUGAGAGGAAGGCUGCGGCUGUGGCGUCUCUGGGUCCUCAGCCUUUCUGGAACCACCCAGGGGGAGGCUUCGUCGCAGUGUUCCCUUCUGGUUGGGAAACAGUGUUGGAUGUUUGGGGAGGGAGGAGGAAGAGCAUCCUUCUUACUAGGAUGCCAGGGAAACCUCUGGCAGGGAGCUGAGUGCAAGGCUGGCCCCAGAGGCGUAGGCACCUUGGCAUUUAGAGGGAUUUGGAGAUGAGAGAAAGAGGUGUU
rnacentral:lncRNA from 1 species